rnacentral:rRNA from 1 species
GACGAACGCUGGCGGCGCGCCUAACACAUGCAAGUCGAACGAGCGAGAGAGAGCUUUCUUUCUCGAGCGAGUGGCGAACGGGUGAGUAACGCGUGAGGAACCUGCCCCAAGAGGGGGACAACAGUUGGAAAAGACUGCUAAUACCGCAUAAGCACAUGACGCGGCAUCGGGUAGAGGGAAAAGGAGCAGUAUGCUUUGAGUUGGACUCGCGUCCGAUUAGCUAGUUGGUGAGGGAACGGCCCACGAAGGCGCCGGUCGGUAGCCGGGCUGAGAGGUUGAACGGCGACACUGGGACUGAGACGCGGCCCAGACUCCUACGCGAGGCAGGAGUGGGGAAUAUUGCACAAUGGGGGAAACGCUGAUGCAGCGCCGACGGGUGGAGGAAGAAGGUCUUCGGAUUGUAAACUCCUGUUGUUGAGGAAGAUAAUGACGGUACUCAACAAGGAAGUGACGGCUAACUACGUG